AUUGAACGCUGGCGGCAGGCCUAACACAUGCAAGUCGAACGAGUGGCGGACGGGUGAGUAAUGUCUGGGAAACUGCCCGAUGGAGGGGGAUAACUACUGGAAACGGUAGCUAAUACCGCAUACCAUCGGAUUUGCCCAGAUUGGAUUAGCUAGUAGGUGGGGUAACGGCUCACCUAGGCGACGAUCCCUAGCUGGUCUGAGAGGAUGACCAGCCACACUGGAACUGAGACACGGUCCAGACUCCUACGGGAGGCAGCAGUGGGGAAUAUUGCACAAUGGGCGCAAGCCUGAUGGAGCCACGCCGCGUGUGUGAAGAAGGUCUUCGGGUUGUAAAGCACUUUCGGUGGGGAGGCGUUACCCGCAGAGAAAGCCCCGGCUAACUACGUGCCAGCAGCCGCGGUAAUUC
rnacentral:rRNA from 1 species